CCUACGGGAGGCAGCAGUGGGGAAUAUUGGGCAAUGGGCGCAAGCCUGACCCAGCAACGCCGCGUGAAGGAAGAAGGCCCUCGGGUUUGUAACUUCUUUUUUUCGGGACGAAACAAAUGACGGUACCGAAUAAAUAAGCCUCCGCUAACUACGUGCCAGCAGUCACGGUAAUACGUAGGUUGCAAGCGUUAUCCGGAUUGACUGGGUGUAAAGGGCGUGUGGGCGGGAGAGCAAGUCAGACGUGAAAUUCCAGGGCUCAACCAUGGAACUGCGUUUGAAACUGGUCUUCUUGAGUGAGGGAGAGGCAGGCGGAAUUCCGGGUGUAGCGAUGAAAUGCGUAGAUAUACGGAGGAACACCAGUGGCGAAGGCGGCCUGCUGGACAUUAACUGACGCUGAGGCGCGAAAGCGUGGGGAGCAAACAGGAUUAGAUACCCCAGUAGUC
rnacentral:rRNA from 1 species